rnacentral:rRNA from 1 species
CAAUAGCGUAUAUUAAAGUUGUUGCAGUUAGAACGCUCGUAGUCGGAUUUCGGGGCGGGCCGACCGGUCUGCCGAUGGGUACGCACUGGUCGGCGCGUCCUUCCUUCCGGAGACCGCCUCUGUUCUUAACUGAAUGGGUGCGGGAGACGGAUCGUUUACUUUGAAAAAAUCAGAGUGUUUCAAGCAGGCAGCUCGCUCUUGCAUGGAUUAGCAUGGGAUAAUGAAAUAGGACUUUGGUGCUAUUUUGUUGGUUUCGAACACCGAAGUAAUGAUUAAAAGGGACAGUCAGGGGCACUCGUAUUCCGCCGAGAGAGGUGAAAUUCUCAGACCAGCGGAAGACGAACCACUGCGAAAGCAUUUGCCAGGGAUGUUUUCACUG